UAAAAACUUGGGUUUGUCAUCCGCAAGGUAAUUAGUUGAGCGGAUUCUGGGUGUUUUCUCAUCUUUUGUUUUGAGUAACAAGCUAUUUAGUUGUACCCCGGACACUCAGAGAGACAGAGAGGAGGCAAAGUUGAGAGAAAAGAACAGGAGAAGAAGACGACGACGUUCAUAGGCUAUCAGUUCAGUUGUUUUUGUCCUUUCAACAACUUGGCCUUUGGAAUGUUCAGUUGUUCAAUUUGAUCGGAAAGACAGAGAGUUCAAGGUCUGCAUCAAAUUGGCGAACAAACCUGGCCUGUAUCAACCAAUUUAAUUUGUAGACGCCGUAUGUCAACUGUAGGAAAUCAAAUCGUCUAAGGAAAAUUCUUUUUGGAAGUUGAAGACUAUCAUGGUGGUUAAUGGUUGACAAUCACUUAGAUUUGUGUUUGUCAGUUCGAUUUGUACUUCACAAUUUUAUGCAUAGAAAGAAACAAUAACAAGUUUUCUUAUACUUUGCAAAGAAGUUUUAUGUUUCUCUACCUAUCGCUUUAGUUGCUAUACUUCACAAUUUAAUGCAUAGAAAGAAACAAUAAUAAGUUUUCUUAUACUUUGCAAUGAAGUUUUAUGUUUCUCUACC